GUCCAUGAUAAACAAGACAGCACACUAUUCCCUUCCUAGCCAUGGAGGAGCAUUUUCUUGUUUUUUGGCAAAGCUGUCACCAUUUAAUUGGUAUCAGAUUCUGACUUGCACAAGUAACAUUC